rnacentral:lncRNA from 1 species
UUGUAUAAAUUGUUCAAAUAAAUUUUCAUUUUCGUUUUGUAUUUUUUGAAGAAGUGUUAUGAAUUUAUAUAUAAUUUAAAAAUAACUAUUUAAGUGACUAUGUUAAGAUUCAGUGAUAUUGACCAUAAUUCAGGUGGUCUCACUUGUGGAUUUUAUCCUCGAUGUUUCACUGAUCUAUCAGUAACAUAAAUUGUUUUGAAAUAUUCUAUUAAUUUUUGUUCCCUUUCAACAUUCGAAAAUUCAGUUUUAAGCUGUUUCCCACUUUCAUUAACCUAAAUAAAUAAUAUAUAUUAUAUAUAUAUAUGUAUAUAUUUAUUAAAAAAAUAGGUGAAUAUGUGUUAUUAAUUAUAUUAAUGUAUUUAUUCACUUUCGUGAUGUAUACGUAUUAUGGAAACUGGAAGGAUAGCAUACAUUUCCUUAAUUAAAAAAUCUUGACCAGAAAUACUUUUUUCUUAAUUCAAGAGGAGCGUUAAAAUGUUUAACACAAUAAGGGUCAGUUAAUUUACCUUUUCUCUUUCUUUUAAUAAGUUGUUUUGAUGCAUUUUUACUAAUUUGUGAAGAGAUAAUAGAUGAAAUCCAAAUUAUUUGUUCCUGGUAAAUAAUAAUUUUGAGAUUGCAAUGCAGCAGUUUUGAUUAUAUUUUUAAUUAUUUUGCACUCAUUUUUUAUAGGAUUUUGUUUGUGUGAAUGAUCCAUUUAUAUACACGUUUCGUCUUUAAUAUGUUCAUUGUUUUUAAUAGGUAAUUGUUCGAAAUGUAGCACCACAUCUUUUAACACAGGUCCAAUAGUAAACAUUAUCAUUAUCCAGUUUACGAAAAUGCUAUUUAUUAAACAUGAAUUCAUAUUCAUCAACUAACAACAUGUUUUUCUCGUGUAUAGUAGAUAUUAAUUUUUUAAUACACCUCGACAUAAUUUUCGUUCACUAUUUCAUUACCAGGAUCGUCUGACAAUUGUGACAGUCGAUUACAAUAACAAGUUAAUUAAAUGUAUUGCUAUAUCAGUCUAAUGGUCGGUAUAUACUAAAAUAUCUUAAUAUCCAUACCAAUAUAAUAAUUGCAAAGUUUUCGAACACAAAUUUCUUCAAGCAAUAAUUCAUUCGAACAUAUUUUUUUUCGAACACAUCUCAUUCGAACAUAUCGUUUUCGAAUACAUAACCUGACAAUGUGUAUCGGGUCAUACGUAAAGAUUGCGAAUGUUUAAAGGUACGAUAUUGCUCACACCACGAUAUAGAGAAGAUAAGGUGACAUCACUUGUACGGAUUCCGGUCGCAAUUUUUCUAGGCAGUUUGGUAGUACAUAUUAUUUUGUCUCGUGUAGGUAGCGCCACCAUUCGCCGAAAGUCCAGUUUUUAUAUUGUGAAUACAUUGUUUUUAAUGUAAAAUAUUAAAAAUGAUAUACAUUUUUGUCAUUUUUGAUACUAUUACUUUAAUAUUAGAAAUAUUAACCAAGUAAGGAUUAUUUUUAAGUAAUUAUUCUAUUACAUUAUAGGUGCAAUGUAAAAUACUUUUGACUUUUUGUUAUUACUGGCAUAGCAAGUUUUGCAUUCUGGCCCAAAAUAUUUGAUAGACAUUUUAACAAAUUAAGAAUAUACGCAAUAUCAUUUAACAAACUACAAACCAUCAAUUUUUCUUAAAUAUGCUGGAUUUAAAGAUUCUUAUCUUGAUUUUCACAUGAAAGAUUCGUAUUCACAAAAAAAUUAUCGUACGUAUUUCAUUGUAUUAUUGUUAAUUCAGUUUAAUUAAUUAUAACUUUCAGAAAUAAGUAUGCAAUAGUUCUGUAAACUGUAGCUUUUAUCAAUCUACAGAUUACUGAAUUAUGACUUGUCUAUAAUAAGCAGGUUAAGUAACUAUUAUUCAGCUAUAACAUUUUGGCCACAAAAAGUGAGCCCUGAUGUCAGUGCUACAAGUGGAUAAUUUCAAUUGGAGGUGAUCAAAAUAAUAGGCGAAAUUUUUAAAUUAUGUACAGUUUCUACUCAACAGUUGACAACAAUAAAACGUACAAACAGAGAACCCCUGGUACCAAAAAUAUUUGGCACCAUAGUUAAGAUAAAACAUUUUAGUAGAAUAUUUCAUACAAGUGUAACACCUAUCUAUAAAACACAAUGAAAAGUUCACUGAAACGGAAUAUUGGGUUUGGAACUUAUAAUUUUUUUGAGAUUUGAUAUUCAGUGGUAAAUUAACGAAGUCUUGUUAAUUGAUUUUGAUACUUUGUUGUACUUUCAAAACGAAUAAUCGUAGUCCACACAAUCUUGAAAUAUUAAAAAAAACUUUUAUAUUAGCGUUUCCCAUACAAAGUAACAUUUUUAAACUAUAUUUACCCUUUUUGAGCUAUGUAUAGUCAUGAGAAAUUUUUAAAAUUUUGUAAAUUAUUUUUCAGUUUGAAAUCCCUAAACCUAUUUCUUUUCAGUGCUAACAUUAUACAUUUUACUAGACAAUUACCCACAAGUGUUUUUAACUCCAUAAAAUGAUAUAAGACUAAGGAUGAAGGAAUCGUCGAUUUCGUUAUUUAAUACUUUAUUAAGGAAUAUAGAGUAAGAAUAUUGUCUUAGGAUAUAGAGUGGCAAUUAGUUAAAUUAAGUGACAUUCCAUUUAAUUUACAACAAUGGUUAAUAUUAUCUAAAUCUUUUUGUAAGAGAAGUGAAUCAUUUUGACAGUUUAUAAAUUUAAAAAUGUUUGCAUCAUCAGCGAAGCGCAGAAUAUUUUAAUAAUUCAAGGCUAAAACAAUAUCAUUAAUAAAUAAAUUAAACAGAAGAGGUGAGAGGUGGUCACCCUGUGGGACACGUGAAAUAACUGGAAUAACUUGUCCACCUUUUUUAUUUUUUGUAUUUUCCAACGUUUUCAAUGUAUUAUUGGAAAACAUAUAUUAGUGCAACCUACGGUAUAACUAAAAUACAAACCAAUUACGAAUUACAAAAUAUGUUUAUAACGAAAUAUCCUAAGAAAUAUAUAUAUACAUUUAUGUGUCCCAUCGGAGAUUAUCCAAGCUCAGAAUUAUUUUUAAUCGAAUGCCUACAAUGAUUAUUACCAUUGAAUUAAAAUUUAACACUCCUAAUACCGUGAUAUUGUACUUAAUGUGACUAUAGGUAUAUUUGGAACGUAUUAUACAUUAGAGCAAGUUAUCCGUAUUGAAUGUAUUGAACUAAAAGUUGUCCAAUAUUAAAUUCAUCACACUACACCAUAUAGUUAAUGUUAUACCUAAUUUAUCAAUAUAUAGUACAGAUUGUAAGUGACUACCAAUAAUUAAUUUAUAGCAUUACUGUAUUUGCAAGUCACGGAAUGAAAUUUUGAAAUUAGGUACUGUUGUGGUCGCCAGUAUAGGUAUCUAUGAUACAUAUCACAAAAAAUUAAAUCCCGGGAAGACGUUAAGUAUGAUUGUAUAAUAUUACAUGGUUAAAAUAUGCAGCCUUGUCAUAUUGCGUGUGUCUGUUGUUUAAUGCGUUGUAAUGUUAACAUCACUAACAUAUUUUUCAAGAAGAUUAGUCUCAUGUCCUAAAAAUAUAAGUGGGAACAUACUGAAUAGUUAGCAAAGCAGGAAAUACUGAAGACUGAAGACUUUUGAGCUAUGUAUAGUCAUGAGAAAUUUUUAAAAUUUUGUAAAUUAUUUUUCAGUUUGAAAUCCCUAAACAUAUUUCUUUUCAGUUCUAACAUUAAACAUUUUACUAGACAAUUACCCACAAGUUUUUCUACCUUCAUAAAAAAAAAGUUUACCCGAAAGUUAUGCUAUUUAUAUAAUAUAGAUAAAAAUAAGAUAGAGAUAUUUCAUGCUAGGAUUACACAAUGCCUCCACCCAGAAUAAUUUUUUAUAAGAAAUGUGUUAUCAUUGAUUUUAAAUAUAACACUUACAUGACAACGACAUGCUUGACAACUACGCUGUACAGCAUAUCGGUAUCCACUUGUCCACCUUUUUUUAUUUUUUGUAUUUUCCAACGUUUUCAAUGUAUUGUUGGAAAACAUAUAUUAGUACAACCUACGGUAUAACUAAAAUAGAAACCAAUUACGAAUUACAAAAUAUGUUUAUAACGAAAUAUCCUAAGAAAUAUAUAUAUGUUACCGGCAAUAUGGAUAAUCCGGUAUUUUGCAAAAUACCUAGGCAUUAUA